UAACAAGGAUUCCCCUAGUAACGGCGAGUGAAGAGGGAAGAGCCCAAGAUUGAAAGCUGGCGUCUUCGGCGUCCGCAUUGUAAUCUCAAGAAGUGUUUUCCGCUUCGGACCAAGCCUAAGUCCCCUGGAAAGGGGCAUCAUAGAGGGUGAUAAUCCCGUACAUGGCUUGGAGCGCCCGAGGCUUUGUGAUACGCUUUCUAAGAGUCGAGUUGUUUGGGAAUGCAGCUCAAAAUGGGUGGUAAAUGCCAUCUAAGGCUAAAUAUUGGGGAGAGACCGAUAGCGAACAAGUACAGUGAUGGAAAGAUGAAAAGAACUUUGAAAAGAGAGUUAAACAGUACGUGAAAUUGCCAAAAGGGAAGGGUAGGAGGUCAGAGAUGCGGCCUGGGAUUCAGCCUUGCUUUUGCUUGGUGUUUUUCCCAGAUUGCAGGCCAACGUCGGUUUUGGGCACUGGAGAAGGGUAGGAGGAACGUGGCACCCCUCGGGGUGUGUUAUAGCCUCCUACUGGAUACAGCGACCGAGACCGAGGACAGCAGCGUACUCGCAAGAGCGGGCCUUCGGGCACCUUUACGCUUAGGGCGUUGGCAUAAU
rnacentral:rRNA from 1 species